ACAGAUGCAGCAUGUAUGGAUGUGGGCAUCCUCAUGACUCAACUUCACAAGAUUGUUUAAAAACAAAAAUCAAAACCUUCCCAAGACGCACAAAAUAAAUCAACAGUGCAAAUGAGAUUCUAAUUCUGUAUUAACAGCUGCAUCAUCUGAAAUUGGAUGUGGGGGAGGUUUGCCUGAGAUUUUUGCAGGCACUAUUUAUUUGAAAUCAGACUGUUUCUUGCUGCAAAGUGGAAUAAUUGGGAGGCCAUCAGGAGACUUUUCAUUGAGAGUUUAUCAAGGUAUGAGAUUGUGACAGAGAAAUUAGCAUUGCCACAGGCCAUGUGGAAGAGGAGCCAGGCAAGUUGCAGAGGUUAAAUUACAAGGGGAUUUUAAAAAAAGUGUUUUGGGAGAGGGAAAAAAGCCUUCAACAAGCAGCAAUCCAGGAGCUGCUGUUCCAAAUUCUAUGGCAGGAGCAAUAUGUACAGUAAACUGAAGGACAUCCCCAAGACUCCUAGAAGAACAAAAGUAAAAUUUGUGAUCAAUAUGGAAAUCCAAAAAGUGGAAUGAUAUGCUCAGAGAAAAAGAAGCUCCUCUUAUGAAAACAGUCCCAUCAAGCACAUAAGGCCCAACAUGAGACAGCCUGUGUCAGAAGAGACCUGUCAGCCAAAAUUUUGACAAAGAGGUCCAUGAGAGGAAUAGCAAGGCAGCUGAAGAAGCUCUGUUGGAGGACAACCAGUUCAACAGCAUCACUAGUUGCAUUGCUAGGUCAAUCUUUGUUUCUUUGAUAGUCAGAAGGUGUUUAAGACAGUCACUCAUGCCCUGAUCAGCUUGCAAUUUGACUACUACAGCAAACUCCACAUAGGACUGCUCUUGAAUACCAUCUGGAAGCUUCAGUUGGACCAUGGCCAAUUCAUCAGUUGACUUUGGAUUCUCUGCUUCUCUCCCUUCUUGUUUCCUGUUAGGAUCUUUUGGAAAAGACAAUACUUUAAGCCGUUUCACUGCAGAACUAGCCGCAUUGCUGACAAUAUAUGACAUCAGUUCAGCCUUUUGUUUCUUUCGUAGUUGGUAAGGAAAAUUUGUCUACACUACUCAGUGAGUAAGAAGAGGGAGGCCUUUCAGAAAGUCAUUUACACUCUGGUCACCUUUUAGCUUGACUAUCACAACCACGUUACAUAGGGCUGGCUUUGAAUCCCACCAGGAAGCUUCAAUUGGAUCAUGGCUAUUUUGGACUUUUUCAGCUAAGAUCACCAAAUUGAAGAUGUUUUCCUUGUGAAGUGGAGAGAAGAGGAAAGUAGCUUGACUCACCAUGUCUUCUAGUGAUUGACCCAGGUUCUCCUGUUCUCUUGGGAAAAAUGAAACCAAGGUUGUUGACUAAAAGUUCACUGUUGUCUCUUCUUUUACCUCAAAGUUUGCUUCAGCAAGGUUCCAGCAACCGUGGGUUUACUCAUAGAAAGUAUGCUCCUUGACAUAUGUUUCUUCUGUGAAUGGCCUCCGUGGAGAUAAAAGAUGUUUCAAAGCCAUUACAUUCACCAACAUUUCCAGGAUUUCCUUUGGUGGUGUUUGGCAUGUCUGGACCAAUAUUCCAGAAAAGGUUUUCUUUUCACGUGGAGAAGUUGCCCUUGGCCUUAUAUCCAGAGGCUUUCUUUGUCCAGCUCUUACCUCAGAGCAUUUUUAUUUUGAAGGUAAGGGUAUAAACAUCUCAGAAGGAAUUUGAAGGAAUAUUUGGCCAUUGUGAACAUUAAUAGAAUCAAGUGUUAAAGUUGUUGUUAAAUGACCCACUGUGAACAAUAAUUGGGGGGUGGGGGGUGGGGAUGUUCUUGAGGAGAAGCAUCAAGUACCAUAAGAAUAUUGGCAUGUCAUAAGAGCUGUUUUUCUUCAUGCAAAGAUAUCGUCAUUAAGAUGUCUGUUCAGCUGUAAUGUUCCAAAGCCAGAUGUGGGUUAGGGAUAGAGAUCAACAGCAACCUAUUUCUUUUUUUUCCCAAGUUUUUUUUUAAAUUUCAAUCUACACAUACACAAUACAUUAACAGUGUGGCAUCAAUAUAUCAUACAUUUUAGUAUAGGCAAACUUAAUAAUACCAA